rnacentral:rRNA from 1 species
UACGUAGGGUGCGAGCGUUAAUCGGAAUUACUGGGCGUAAAGCGUGCGCAGGCGGUUCUCCAAGUCCGUUGUGAAAGCCCCGGGCUCAACCUGGGAAUGGCAGUGGAAACUAGGGGACUGGAAUCUGGCAGAGGGGGGUGGAAUGCCGCGUGUAGCAGUGAAAUGCGUAGAGAUGCGGCGGAACACCGAUGGCGAAGGCAGCCCCCUGGGCUGAGAUUGACGCUCAGGCGCGAAAGCUAGGGGAGCAAACAGG